rnacentral:pre_miRNA from 2 species
CUUUUCCAUUCUUCUGCGGUAAUUCAACGCCAUGUCAGUGUAGCCCAGAUGAAUGGAAAGUC